CAGUCGCCGCGGUAAAACGGAGGGAGCUAGCGCUGUUCGGAAUUACUGGGCGUAAAGCGCACGUAGGCGGCUUUGUAAGUUAGAGGUGAAAGCCUGGAGCUCAACUCCAGAAUUGCCUUUAAGACUGCAUCGCUUGAAUCCAGGAGAGGUGAGUGGAAUUCCGAGUGUAGAGGUGAAAUUCGUAGAUAUUCGGAAGAACACCAGUGGCGAAGGCGGCUCACUGGACUGGUAUUGACGCUGAGGUGCGAAAGCGUGGGGAGCAAACAGGAUUAGAUACCCCCGUAGUCCCUGUCUCUUAUAC
rnacentral:rRNA from 1 species